AUUUUUUACCUGGACGAUCAGAUCUGGGAAGGAAAAGAAUGAAUCUAGAAAAUUGGAAAUUUAAGUUUAUUUCUGUUUUUGUAUUAAUUGGGAUUUCACAUUCAAAACGGUACAAGUACUGCGGGGAGGGAUGCUGUCCUCACGAAUUCUGUGCUUAUCAUAAAAUAUGUUAUCCCAUCAUCCAUUGCGAUCCUACGUGUCCGGACGGCAGCUGUCAAAAUGGACUAUGUUUUCCCGCCAAACCGUGCACGAGGAAUUUUGAAUGUGGUUUUGCAGAAACGUGUACAUUCAACUACAACCUCGGUUACACAACUUGCCAGUAUAACCUUAACAUUGGAGAAACUCUUUGCUCUGAUCGAAAUGGAAAUGCUGCAUUUAACCCUAAACCAGAUGAAAGCCCAUUUGUCCACAAAAGUUUUAACAAUCAGGAUAGUUUUUGAGACUUACCCUCACCAGCUAAAGUUUUCAAUAAUUUCAGUAUAUAAUCACAAUGCCUUUGAACUUUUCUCGUUGAAUCGUAAUAUACUGAGUUUAGAAAUAUUUCUUUUCAGGAAGAAUAUUUUUUUUUUUAAAAACUUUAAAUUUUUACCUCCAUUUUAAUUCACAUUUCAGAGCACGUUUUAAGCAAUCAGUGAGUCCAUAGAAUGGAUCAAAAACAAAUCAAACAAGAAAUCUGUCACAUAUAUAUCCUUUGUGUCAAAAAGCAUAUUCAUUCAUUCCAAACAAAGCCAGUUUCAGAUAGAGCUUUUCUAUUUUUAUGCCCCGUAAUCGAAGAUUCGGGGGUAUAUAGUUUUUGCCCUGUCCGUCCGUCUGUCUGUCUGUACUUUUGAAAAACUUUAACCUUUUCCAUAUCUAUUCAAUGGUUGCUGCUAGGGCUCUCAUAUUUCACAGGUAUAUUCCUCGAGACAAGAUCUUACUUUGGGUAUGAACAUAUUUGACUUGCAUUUGAGAAAGUUUAACCUUCACUAUAAGUUGCCAUACGGGGGCAUCAGUGUUUCACAAACACACCUUGUUUUCAUGGUAAGCGAAUAAUUUGCAAUCAUUUCCUUAAAUUCACUGCAGGUUUGAUUUUUUCCCCCAAAGCACACUCAAAUAUACCUUAAAGAAAAUAUUCCAUUGAAUCUAAGAAUACUCUGUUAAACUCAGUGUCAUUUACUGAUCUAAUUUAGAUCAUUUUCAGGUAAUCUUUGAAAAAAAAAUAUAUAGGCUGUUCAUUACUAUAUAGGUUUGUUUGACUGUACUUCUAGUAACAUUAAAAAAUCUGAAGCUUUUAGUUUAGUAUUUAUUAUCAUUUAGAAACAUUAUUACUAUAUCAUAGUACUCAUGUUUUGAUAUACCAAGUACCAUAAUCAACACUUAAUAAUAAAUGUACAAUCAUGUAGAACUGUAAUUGAUAAUUUUUUGAAAGAAUACAACCAAUAUGAAUGUAUGAUCUUACACAAAAAAAUUAAGAUUGACAUUUAAUU